UGAAAAUCUAACGAGAGAUAUGGCUCGAAUGCCAGAUUCAGGUUCUGAAGAUUUUAGCUUGAGUUUUGAGGACCAAAUGCUUCAUGAAUUUAUCAAACAAAGACAGGGCAUUUCAGAAUUGAUCGAACAUCCUUUGAUAGAACAAGGCUCGAUCAGCAAUAGCGUUAUGGAGAUGACUGAAGUGAAUAUCAGGAAGAAAACGAAAGCCAGACAACCAACGAUAGCAAGUUGUAAAAUAUUGACAAAGGGAACUGAGGACUACAGUAAUGACAAGUCCAUUUUCAGUGUAUUAAACGAGCCUACAAUCA
rnacentral:misc_RNA from 1 species